UCAAAGAGAGGAGAGAUGAAACCGAAAGGCCAGUCGGGUAGCCCCUACGCAUUUGCAAACACUAUAAAAACCAGCAGCUUCCAACGCCCCCUCUCCUUUUACAGUCGAUCGUUUGCUCGUCAGAGAACUCAACGCCCCUAUCUUCUGCUUCAAUCCACUGCUAAUUCGAAAUCCACGGUAAUAUCAGGAUCAUAUUACCAACAUGGCAUGGGACAUUUAACAACAGUGACCGGUGAUCCUGAUACACAUGAAGAUUUUCAACCCACCAACAAACUUGCGAAUUCCGGCCUUUCCACACAUGAUGUCGUUAAGCAGGAUGUCAAGGAAAAGCCUGUCAUGAUUUAUAUGAAGGGAGUUCCUGAUGCCCCUCGAUGUGGAUUCAGUGCACUCGCAGUGAGAGUCCUAAAGGAAUAUGGUGUUCCUAUCAGUGCCAGAAACAUAUUAGAAGACCCUGAGCUAAAAAAUGGUGUAAAAUCGUUCAGCAACUGGCCCACAUUUCCUCAAAUAUUCAUUAAGGGAGAGUUUAUUGGAGGGUCUGAUAUUAUUCUCAACAUGCACCAGACUGGAGAAUUGAAGGAGAAGCUCAAGGAUAUCACUGUCGAAACCAAGCAAUGAAAAAGGCAUGAGAGAGCUGUCUGCUAAAAUAGAAAGCCACGAGUUGAUGUGGGAGGGAAUCCUCAUCCAAGGUGGAGUCAAUGUUCUCAGUGACAUGACCUUGAACUGUUCUAGGACAGCCAGAACUGGACUUUUGCUCUUAAUCUCCUCGUACACAUGGCUGUAUGUCGUGAUCAAAACCAUUCAUCAGCUGGAUAAAAAAGCUCCUCCCAUCCGAAUCCAAAAGUCCAGGUUGUUUUCUGUCAUGAACUAUUAGUUUUCAGGAUCCAGUCAUCAUUUUUAAUGUGUUUUAGAUUUCAAGUUUCAAAUGCCACUGAUGGAAGAAUUUUCUCCAAUACAUCCUCAUAUGUUGCAAUAUGAUAUGUCGGGACUAUAGCCUUCAAAUAUGGGUCAACUUACAUGAUCUGAAUUAUUUAUGCGAUUAGGCUCACUUUGUGUGGUGUAGACAACAAACCUAAGCUCUCAAUUGGAUUACUUCAACCCUUUGAUUA